UACAGAGGUCUCAAGCGUUUGUUCGGAUUCAUUGGGCGUAAAGGGUGCGUAGGCGGCGCGGUAAGUCGGGUGUGAAAUCUUGGAGCUUAACUCCGAAACUGCAUUCGAUACUGCCGUGCUUGAGGACUGGAGAGGAGACUGGAAUUUACGGUGUAGCGGUGAAAUGCGUAGAUAUCGUGAAGGAAGACCAGUGGCGAAGGCGGGUCUCUGGACA
rnacentral:rRNA from 1 species